AAAUGGCUCAAGGUAGGCUGUGUGGCGUUUAAUUCAAGCCCGCUGAAGAGAAGAGGACGCAAGCGACGUUUGCAUUGGGAAUUUUUUCUCUUUUUAGUAUAUAGGAGAAAAAAAUAUCCCAACCUGGGGCGGGCAAGGGGCAGCUUUGGACGUGUCCCCGCGCCGGGGACAGGAGCCCAGGCUCCUGAUCCUAAAGGAACGCGCCGCUGUAAAUCCCGGCCCCAUACACAAACGGCAUUUGGGCUCCUCGACCCGAAAACGCCGGCGGGGGAGGCUCCACUUUUGGGGAGCCUGAAGCGGGGAUCCCCGGAGCCCGCUGCGGGGCUGGGUGCGGGACGGGGCGCGGGGAGCGGGGCCGAGCCGGGCCGAGCCGGGCCGGGCCGGGGUCAGCGGCACGGUGCGGUGGGGGUGCCGGGUCCCCGAGGGGUCGCAUCCUGCUUCGGGGCCGGCUGGUCGAGAACGAAGCGGCCACGGGAGUUUUUAUUCGCCUUUUCCACCCCGCGCUGCAGCAUUUCGGGGGGCCGUGGGGACCCUUCCCCGUCGACAAAAAGGCCGGAGGGGGUUGUUUCUCCUCCGCCUUCGUUUCUCGCCUUUCCAGCGAGGCAAAGAAAAGCCGCACUUGUUGGGGAAAGAAAAAAAAAAGACAAAAAUCAAACAAACAAAAGCCCGAGUUCGGGAAGCGACCGGCCGGCCGGCCAAACGAAAAAAAGCCUCCAAACCCAAAAGCAGGAGAGGGGAACGGAAAGCUCCCCGGGCCGCUGGCUCCGCAGACGGCUGGCGGUCCGGGGCCGGUCCGGGGGAGCGGGGAACCCCGCGGGCAGCUCGGGCCGGCUGUCCCCCGCUGUCCCCGGCCAGCAGGUGCUCGGCGACAGCCCUCGGGGAGCCCCGGGAGGGGGGGCCGUCGGACCCCGACCCCUCUGCGCCCCCCCCGACGGCGGUGCCCGGCUGGCACCGACGGCAGCGGCCACGGCGGCUUGUGGGGCUCGGGGCUGCCGUCCCGAGCAGGUGCCUUCCUCCUUCUCCUCCUCCUCCUCCUCCUGCUCCUGCUCCUGCUGCUGCUGCUGCUGCUCAGCACAGCCCGCGGCCGCGCCGUGCCCGGGGCGGUGCCGGGCGGUGCGGCGGGGGCCUGGGAGCCCCGCACCCGGCCCGCGGUGCUGCAGCGCCCCCUGGGGGGCUCCCGGGUGCACGCCGCCCCCCCCCGGCUCGGCUCGGCACGGCGCGGCUCGGCACGGCCCCGGGAACGGGACGGCGGCGGCUGCCGGCAGCGUGUGCCGUCGAGCAGCUCCGCGGUCGCCUCGGUCUCCUCGCUCGUCUCGCUCGUCUUUCUUAAUUUUUAUUUUUAUUUUUAGGUUUUUCAAAGAAAAAAAAAACAAACACCGCGACGGGGAAAAACGCCCCAUUGGGAUGCGGGGCCGAGCCGUCGGGGAAAGGGGGCUCCGGGAGCGCAGCCGCUGA
rnacentral:lncRNA from 1 species